CCUACGGGAGGCUGCAGUGGGGAAUAUUGCACAAUGGGGGAAACCCUGAUGCAGCAACGCCGCGUGAAGGAAGACGGUUUUCGGAUUGUAAACUUCUGUUCUUAGUGAAGAAUAAUGACGGUAGCUAAGGAGCAAGCCACGGCUAACUACGUGCCAGCAGCCGCGGUAAUACGGAGGGUGCAAGCGUUACUCGGAAUCACUGGGCGUAAAGAGCGCGUAGGCGGGAUAGCAAGUCAGAUGUGAAAUCCUAGGGCUUAACCAUAGAACUGCAUUUGAAACUGUUAUUCUAGAGUAUGGGAGAGGUAGGUGGAAUUCUUGGUGUAGGGGUAAAAUGCGUAGAGAUCAAGAGGAAUACUCAUUGCGAAGGCGACCUGCUAGAACAUAACUGACGCUGAGGCGCGAAAGCGUGGGGAGCAAACAGGAUUAGAUACCCGUGUAGUC
rnacentral:rRNA from 1 species